rnacentral:rRNA from 1 species
AUGCCAUCGCACCAACGGGAACAUAGAUCUAGUGAUGAACCCAAGAUUGGCGAUGGUAGUGGUGAUCGCGAUGAUACAAGCAAGAAGAGGUGCAUCACCAAUGAACUCCCGUCCUUCAAUUCUACAAGACAUGAUUUGCAUCUCCUCGAGUUCAAGAGUGGAAACCAAAAGAAUGGAGAUGAAGAUGAUGCCGAGGUGGAGAUUCAACUAACUCAAGUGGAUGGGAAGGAGACUGGUAAUCCAUCCAAGAGCCCCACCAGAUCGUUGGAGUUAGGGGGUGAUACCUCACCUCACCAACAGGGGCAACUAUGGGAAAAGGACCAAUCAGGCACAUGGUGGAAGCAGUGCAUUAGCCCUGACUACCCUGAGGCAAAAUUCCGCAGCCACUUCCGGAUGGGUUGGGGCACCUUUGACAUGAUCUGCGAUGCAUUGGCUUCCUCUAUUGCCAAAAAGGACACCCCACUCCAUCCUGCCAUCCCCGUGCGCCAACGUGUUGCUAUUUGUGUCUGGCGCCUCGCAAGUGGUGAGCCCCUCCAUGUUGUCUCUCAACGCUUUGGCAUUGCACUCUCUACCCGCCUAAAGAUCUUUCACGAAGUUUGUGCCGCUAUCUGGCACAUACUUAUGCCCCGCUUUAUCCAGUGGCCUGACCAGACAAUCGCCUUGAAGGACAACUUUAAGGCCAUCUCCGGUAUCCCAGACGUUGUUGGUGCCAUCUAUACCACCCAUGUCCAGAUCAUCCAACCGAUAUUGUGGGCCAGUGAUUACCUCGAUUGGGGUCCUUACAAUUACAACAGGAAUAGCACCUACCUCUCAACCACCAUCCAAGGAGUUGUCGACCCAUUCGGCACUUUCACCGAUGUAUGCAUUGGUUGCCCUGGGGCCCUGCGUGACGAUGAGAUCGUCUGUAUUUCGGGUCUACAACAGCGUGGAAGACCUCAGGUGAUGCCUAGUUCCUGGGUAGUCGGUGGCUCUAGCUACCCACUAAUGGAGUGGCUUCUCGUCCCAUACCCACACCAAAACUUAACAAGGGAACAACAUUCUUUCAACAAGAAGGUCAUGAAGGUUCAUCGUGUGGCCGUGGAUGCCUUUGCAAGGCUCAGGGGGCGAUGGGCAUUCUUGCAAAAGCGCAUAGGUGUGAAUAUCUCAAACGUCUCUAUCGUGAUCGGUGCGUGUUGUGUGUUGCACAACAUAUGUGAGGUCAAAGGGGAGGUGAUGAGCCCAGAGUUGCGGUGUGAUGUCAUCGACUUUGAGACCGUGCCGGAGAACCUUGUGCAUUCUGAGAGUGCUAGCAAGGCCAGAGACAAGAUCGCACACACACUCUUCUAG